CACGAACUGCGCAAACGUUAUUCGGAAUCACUGGGCUUAAAGAGUCCGUAGGCGGCCUGGUAGGUGGGGUGUGAAAUCCCACGGCUCAACCGUGGAAUUGCGCUCCAAACCGCCGGGCUUGAGGGAGAUAGAGGAGGGCGGAACUGAUGGUGGAGCGGUGAAAUGCGUUGAUAUCAUCAGGAACACCGGUGGCGAAAGCGGCUCUCUGGGUCUCUUCUGACGCUGAGGGACGAAAGCUAGGGGAGCGAAC
rnacentral:rRNA from 1 species